CUGGUCUUAGCCAAGUGGUUACCGCAGCAGAGUCAAAAUCUGUUUCUCUUGCAGUUGGUUCGAAACCUACUGACAAUA